CAGUAGGGUGCCAUCAAGAGGUGUAUUAUCAAGAGGUGUAUUUG
rnacentral:rRNA from 1 species